rnacentral:rRNA from 2 species
AAAUUGAAGAGUUUGAUCAUGGCUCAGAUUGAACGCUGGCGGCAGGCCUAACACAUGCAAGUCGAGCGGUAGCACAGAGAGCUUGCUCUCGGGUGACGAGCGGCGGACGGGUGAGUAAUGUCUGGGAAACUGCCUGAUGGAGGGGGAUAACUACUGGAAACGGUAGCUAAUACCGCAUAACGUCGCAAGACCAAAGUGGGGGACCUUCGGGCCUCAUGCCAUCAGAUGUGCCCAGAUGGGAUUAGCUAGUAGGUGGGGUAACGGCUCACCUAGGCGACGAUCCCUAGCUGGUCUGAGAGGAUGACCAGCCACACUGGAACUGAGACACGGUCCAGACUCCUACGGGAGGCAGCAGUGGGGAAUAUUGCACAAUGGGCGCAAGCCUGAUGCAGCCAUGCCGCGUGUGUGAAGAAGGCCUUCGGGUUGUAAAGCACUUUCAGCGGGGAGGAAGGCGGUGAGGUUAAUAACCUCAUCGAUUGACGUUACCCGCAGAAGAAGCACCGGCUAACUCCGUGCCAGCAGCCGCGGUAAUACGGAGGGUGCAAGCGUUAAUCGGAAUUACUGGGCGUAAAGCGCACGCAGGCGGUCUGUCAAGUCGGAUGUGAAAUCCCCGGGCUUAACCUGGGAACUGCAUUCGAAACUGGCAGGCUAGAGUCUUGUAGAGGGGGGUAGAAUUCCAGGUGUAGCGGUGAAAUGCGUAGAGAUCUGGAGGAAUACCGGUGGCGAAGGCGGCCCCCUGGACAAAGACUGACGCUCAGGUGCGAAAGCGUGGGGAGCAAACAGGAUUAGAUACCCUGGUAGUCCACGCCGUAAACGAUGUCGAUUUGGAGGUUGUGCCCUUGAGGCGUGGCUUCCGGAGCUAACGCGUUAAAUCGACCGCCUGGGGAGUACGGCCGCAAGGUUAAAACUCAAAUGAAUUGACGGGGGCCCGCACAAGCGGUGGAGCAUGUGGUUUAAUUCGAUGCAACGCGAAGAACCUUACCUGGUCUUGACAUCCACAGAACUUUCCAGAGAUGGAUUGGUGCCUUCGGGAACUGUGAGACAGGUGCUGCAUGGCUGUCGUCAGCUCGUGUUGUGAAAUGUUGGGUUAAGUCCCGCAACGAGCGCAACCCUUAUCCUUUGUUGCCAGCGGUUAGGCCGGGAACUCAAAGGAGACUGCCAGUGAUAAACUGGAGGAAGGUGGGGAUGACGUCAAGUCAUCAUGGCCCUUACGACCAGGGCUACACACGUGCUACAAUGGCAUAUACAAAGAGAAGCGACCUCGCGAGAGCAAGCGGACCUCAUAAAGUAUGUCGUAGUCCGGAUUGGAGUCUGCAACUCGACUCCAUGAAGUCGGAAUCGCUAGUAAUCGUAGAUCAGAAUGCUACGGUGAAUACGUUCCCGGGCCUUGUACACACCGCCCGUCACACCAUGGGAGUGGGUUGCAAAAGAAGUAGGUAGCUUAACCUUCGGGAGGGCGCUUACCACUUUGUGAUUCAUGACUGGGGUGAAGUCGUAACAAGGUAACCGUAGGGGAACCUGCGGUUGGAUCACCUCCUUACCUUAAAGAA